rnacentral:miRNA from 1 species
UGGCACCAGCACUGGCGGUGUC